rnacentral:rRNA from 1 species
GACGAACGCUGGCGGCGCGCUUAACACAUGCAAGUCGAACGGAAAGGCCCUGCUUCUGUGGGGUGCUCGAGUGGCGAACGGGUGACUAACACGUGCGUAACCUGCCCUUGCCUUUGGGCUAACUCCAGGAAACUGGGGCUAAUACCGGAUCGGCCCUCCUGCUGCAUUGUGGGGGUUGGACAGUUUCGGCGGUUGGGUAUGGACUCGCGGCUUAUCAGCUUGUUGGUGGGGUAGUGGCUUACCAAGGCUCUGACGGGUAGCCGGCCUGCGAGGGGGACCGGCCACAUUGGGACGGAGAUACGGCCCAGCCGGCUACGGGAGGCAGCAGUGGGGAAGAUUGCACGAUGGGAGGAAGCCUGAUGCAGCAACGCCGCGUGCGGGAUGUCGGCCUUCGGGUUGUAAACCGCUUUCGCCUGUGACGAAGCGAGAGUGACGGUGAUAGGUAGAGAAACACCGGCUAACUCCGUG